rnacentral:rRNA from 1 species
UGCCAGCAGCCGCGGUAAUACGGAGGGUGCAAGCGUUGUUCGGAUUUACUGGGCGUAAAGAGCGCGUAGGCGGCUUCAUAAGUUAAGGGUGAAAUCCCGGGGCUUAACUCCGGAACUGCUCUUAAAACUGUGGAGCUAGAGACAAUCAGAGGUGGGUGGAAUUCCAGGUGUAGAGGUGAAAUUCGUAGAUAUCUGGAGGAACACCGGUGGCGAAGGCGGCCCACUGGGAUUGUUCUGACGCUGAGGCGCGAAAGCGUGGGGAGCAAACAGGAUUAGAUA